rnacentral:rRNA from 1 species
UACGUAGGGUGCGAGCGUUAAUCGGAAUUACUGGGCGUAAAGCGUGCGCAGGCGGUUCGCUCAGACAGAUGUGAAAGCCCCGGGCUUAACCUGGGAACUGCGUUUGUAACUGGCGGGCUGGAGUGCGGAAGAGGGAGGUGGAAUUCCACGUGUAGCAGUGAAAUGCGUAGAGAUGUGGAGGAACACCGAUGGCGAAGGCAGCCUCCUGGUCUAGCACUGACGCUCAUGCACGAAAGCGUGGGGAGCAAACAGG